AUAGCUCAGUGGUAAAGUGCAUGCUUAGCACGCAUGAGGUCCUGGGUUCAAACUCCAGU
rnacentral:tRNA from 1 species